UACGGGGGGGGCAAGCGUUGUUCGGAAUUACUGGGUGUAAAGGGUUCGUAGGCGGUGCGGCAAGUUGGGAGUGAAAUCUCUGGGCUUAACCCAGAGGCUGCUUCCAAAACUGCUGUGCUUGAGUGUGGGAGAGGCGCGUGGAAUUGCAGGUGUAGCGGUGAAAUGCGUAGAUAUCUGCAGGAACACCGGUGGCGAAGGCGGCAUCCUGGACCAACACUGACACUGAGGAGCGAAAGCCAGGGGAGCAAACGGG
rnacentral:rRNA from 1 species